rnacentral:rRNA from 1 species
GAAAAGAAAAUAGUUCAGCACUAAGUCACUUUGCCUUUAUGACAAAUGUGAGAUGCAGUGUAUGGAAUGUCAAAUUUCUAGUAUGAGAAAUUAACGAUUUAAGUCCUUCUUAAAUGAGGCCAUUUACCCAUAGAGGGUGCCAGGCCCGUAUAACGUUAAUGAUUAUUAGAUGCUAUUUCCAAAGAGUCGUGUUGCUUGAUAGUGCAGCACUAAGUGGGUGGUAAACUCCAUCUAAAACUAAAUAUAACCAUGAGACCGAUAGUAAACAAGUACCGUGAGGGAAAGUUGAAAAGAACUCUGAAUAGAGAGUUAAAUAGUACGUGAAACUGCUUAGAGGUUAAGCCCGAUGAACCUGAAUAUCCGUUAUAGAAAAUUCAUCAUUAAGAUUUUAAUAAAUAUAUAAAUAUUAUAAUAAUGGUGUGCACUUUUUCUAUAAAAGGACAUUGUAAUCUAUUAACAUAAAAGUAUUUAUCAUAAGAUCAUUAGCAAAAGUUUACUCAAAUUAUUUUGCUUACAAUUUAACAUAGAAUAAAUGCUUUUGAUUUGAUAAAGUGUUGAUAGAUUUAUUAUAUAUGGUGCUUAAAUAUAUAAUAUUGUAUAAUAUCAUAUUAAUUAUUAAUUUUUAUGUUUAUUAUAUGCACUUAUAUGAUUAACAAUGCGAAAGAUUCAGGAUACCUUCGGGACCCGUCUUGAAACACGGACCAAGGAGUCUAACAUAUUUGCAAGUUAUUGGGAAUAAAAACCUAAUAGCGAAAUUAACAUAACUUAAAAAUAAUAAUGGGAUUAGUUUUUAACCUAUUUUAUAGGUUAUUAAUUCAAUCCCGGGGCGUUCUAUACAGUUAUGUAUAAUAAUAUUUAUAUUAUUUAUACCUCUAACUAGAGCGUACCUUGAGCAUAUAUGCUGUGACCCGAAAGAUGGUGAACUAUACUUGAUCAGGUUGAAGUCAGGGGAAACCCUGAUGGAAGACCGAAACAGUUCUGACGUGCAAAUCGAUUGUCAGAAUUGAGUAUAGGGGCGAAAGACCAAUCGA